UACGAACUGUGCGAACGUUAUUCGGAAUCACUGGGCUUACAGGGUGCGUAGGCGGCCCAACAAGUCAGGUGUGAAAGCCCUCGGCUCAACCGAGGAACUGCGCUUGAAACUGUUAGGCUCGAGUCAGCUAGAGGUGCACGGAACUUCCAGUGGAGCGGUGAAAUGUGUUGAUAUUGGAAGGAACACCGGAGGCGAAAGCGGUGCACUGGGGCUGGUCUGACGCUGAGGCACGAAAGCCAGGGGAGCGAACGGG
rnacentral:rRNA from 1 species